rnacentral:rRNA from 1 species
GACGAACGCUGGCGGCGUGCUUAACACAUGCAAGUCGAACGGAGAGGCCCAGCUUGCUUGGUGCUCGAGUGGCGAACGGGUGAGUAACACGUGGGUGAUAUGCCUCUAACUUCGGGAUAAGCUUGGGAAACUGGGUCUAAUACCGGAUAGGACAAUCGUUUAGUGUCGGUUGUGGAAAGUUUUUUCGGUUAGGGAUGAGCCCGCGGCCUAUCAGCUUGUUGGUGGGGUAAUGGCCUACCAAGGCGUCGACGGGUAGCCGGCCUGAGAGGUUGGACGGCCACAUUGGGACUACGAGACGGCGCAGACUCCUACGGGAGGCAGCAGUGGGGAAUAUUGCACAAUGGGAGCAAGCCUGAUGCAGCGACGCCGCGUGGGGGAUGACGGCCUUCGGGUUGUAAACCUCUUUCGACAGGGACGAAGCUUUGGUGACGGUACCUGUAGAAGAAGCACCGGCUAACUACGUG